rnacentral:tRNA from 1 species
GCGGGUAUGGUUUAGUGGUAGAAUCUCUCCUUGCCAAGGAGGAGGUGCGGGUUCGAUUCCCGCUACCCGCC